rnacentral:rRNA from 1 species
GAUGAACGCUGGCGGCGUGCCUAAUACAUGCAAGUCGAGCGAACAGACGAGGAGCUUGCUCCUCUGACGUUAGCGGCGGACGGGUGAGUAACACGUGGAUAACCUACCUAUAAGACUGGGAUAACUUCGGGAAACCGGAGCUAAUACCGGAUAAUAUAUUGAACCGCAUGGUUCAAUAGUGAAAGACGGUUUUGCUGUCACUUUUAGAUGGAUCCGCGCCGCAUUAGCUAGUUGGUAAGGUAACGGCUUACCAAGGCAACGAUGCGUAGCCGACCUGAGAGGGUGAUUGGCCACACUGGAACUGAGACACGGUCCAGACUCCUACGGGAGGCAGCAGUAGGGAAUCUUCCGCAAUGGGCGAAAGCCUGACGGAGCAACGCCGCGUGAGUGAUGAAGGUCUUCGGAUCGUAAAACUCUGUUAUUAGGGAAGAACAAAUGUGUAAGUAACUAUGCACGUCUUGACGGUACCUAAUCAGAAAGCCACGGCUAACUACGUG